rnacentral:rRNA from 1 species
AACGAACGCUGGCGGCAGGCCUAACACAUGCAAGUCGAACGGUAACAGGCCGCAAGGUGCUGACGAGUGGCGAACGGGUGAGUAAUGCAUCGGAACGUGCCCAGUCGUGGGGGAUAACGCAGCGAAAGCUGCGCUAAUACCGCAUACGAUCUAUGGAUGAAAGCGGGGGACCGUAAGGCCUCGCGCGAUUGGAGCGGCCGAUGUCAGAUUAGGUAGUUGGUGGGGUAAAGGCUCACCAAGCCAACGAUCUGUAGCUGGUCUGAGAGGACGACCAGCCACACUGGGACGGGGCAAAGGCCCAGACUCCUACGGGAGGCAGCAGUGGGGAAUUGUGGAAAAUGGGCGCAAGCCUGAUCCAGCAAUGCCGCGUGCAGGAAGAAGGCCUUCGGGUUGUAAACUGCUUUUGUACGGAACGAAACGGUCCUGGUUAAUACCCGGGGCUAAUGACGGUACCGUAAGAAUAAGCACCGGCUAACUUCGUGCCAGCCGCCGCCGUAACAC